GUGGGGAAUAUUGGACAAUGGGCGCAAGCCUGAUCCAGCCAUGCCGCGUGAGUGAUGAAGGCCUUAGGGUUGUAAAGCUCUUUUACCAGGGAAGAUAAUGACGGUACCUGGAGAAUAAGCCCCGGCUAACUUCGUGCCAGCAGCCGCGGUAAUACGAAGGGGGCUAGCGUUGCUCGGAAUCACUGGGCGUAAAGCGCACGUAGGUGGGUCAUUAAGUCAGGGGUGAAAUCCUGGAGCUCAACUCCAGAACUGCCUUUGAUACUGAUGAUCUUCGAGUCCGGGAGAGGUGGGUGGAACUGCGAGUGUAGAGGUGAAAUUCGUAGAUAUUCGCAAGAACACCAGUGGCGAAGGCGGCUCACUGGCCCGGUACUGACACUGAGGUGCGAAAGCGUGGGGAGCAAACAGGAUUAGAUACCCUUGUAGUCC
rnacentral:rRNA from 1 species